rnacentral:tRNA from 1 species
CCGAGUGUAGCUCAGUUGGUAGAGCGAUGAUCUGUAGUGUUCUAUACUGUGUUUCAGUAUUCUCGGAAAUCAAUUGGUCGCUGGUUCGAUUCCGGCCACUCGGA